UGAACGCUGGCGGCAGGCCUAACACAUGCAAGUCGAGCGGUAGCACAGAGAGCUUGCUCUCGGGUGACGAGCGGCGGACGGGUGAGUAAUGUCUGGGAAACUGCCUGAUGGAGGGGGAUAACUACUGGAAACGGUAGCUAAUACCGCAUAAUGUCGCAAGACCAAAGUGGGGGACCUUCGGGCCUCAUGCCAUCAGAUGUGCCCAGAUGGGAUUAGCUAGUAGGUGGGGUAACGGCUCACCUAGGCGACGAUCCCUAGCUGGUCUGAGAGGAUGACCAGCCACACUGGAACUGAGACACGGUCCAGACUCCUACGGGAGGCAGCAGUGGGGAAUAUUGCACAAUGGGCGCAAGCCUGAUGCAGCCAUGCCGCGUGUGUGAAGAAGGCCUUCGGGUUGUAAAGCACUUUCAGCGGGGAGGAAGGCGAUAAGGUUAAUAACCUUGGCGAUUGACGUUACCCGCAGAAGAAGCACCGGCUAACUCCGUGCCAGCAGCCGCGGUAAUACGGAGGGUGCAAGCGUUAAUCGGAAUUACUGGGCGUAAAGCGCACGCAGGCGGUCUGUCAAGUCGGAUGUGAAAUCCCCGGGCUCAACCUGGGAACUGCAUUCGAAACUGGCAGGCUAGAGUCUUGUAGAGGGGGGUAGAAUUCCAGGUGUAGCGGUGAAAUGCGUAGAGAUCUGGAGGGAUACCGGUGGCGAAGGCGGCCCCCUGGACAAAGACUGACGCUCAGGUGCGAAAGCGUGGGGAGCAAACAGGAUUAGAUACCCUGGUAGUCCACGCCGUAAACGAUGUCGAUUUGGAGGUUGUGCCCUUGAGGCGUGGCUUCCGGAGCUAACGCGUUAAAUCGACCGCCUGGGGAGUACGGCCGCAAGGUUAAAACUCAAAUGAAUUGACGGGGGCCCGCACAAGCGGUGGAGCAUGUGGUUUAUUUCAAUGCAACGCGAAGAACCUUACCUGGGUCUUGACAUCCACAGAAUUUGGCAGAGAUGGUUUGGUGCCUUCGGGAACUGUGAGACAGGUGCUGCAUGGCUGUCGUCAGCUCGUGUUGUGAAAUGUUGGGUUAAGUCCCGCAACGAGCGCAACCCUUAUCCUUUGUUGCCAGCGGUCCGGCCGGGAACUCAAAGGAGACUGCCAGUGAUAAACUGGAGGAAGGUGGGGAUGACGUCAAGUCAUCAUGGCCCUUACGACCAGGGCUACACACGUGCUACAAUGGCAUAUACAAAGAGAAGCGACCUCGCGAGAGCAAGCGGACCUCAUAAAGUAUGUCGUAGUCCGGAUUGGAGUCUGCAACUCGACUCCAUGAAGUCGGAAUCGCUAGUAAUCGUAGAUCAGAAUGCUACGGUGAAUACGUUCCCGGGCCUUGUACACACCGCCCGUCACACCAUGGGAGUGGGUUGCAAAAGAAGUAAGGAGCUUAACCUUCGGGAGGGCGCUUACC
rnacentral:rRNA from 1 species